rnacentral:lncRNA from 10 species
AGUAAGUACGAAUCGGCCUUAGGUUCCCUGCCUCAAGACCCUAUUCUCCUGCCUCACUUUUAGCUAAGGGUUAUUACAAAAGAGUCAGAAAGUUAAGACAAAAUAUGAAAGUUUAUAAAGUAAAAAGAGUUACAGUGAGCUAAGUAUAACUUAUUGAAAACAUUUUUUUAAUUUAGUAUAGCCUAACUGUGUUUAUACAGUCUACAGUAGUAUACAGUAAUAUCCUAGACCUCCACAUUCCCUCGCCACUCACUCACUCACUCACCGACUCACUCAGAGCAACAUCCAGUCCUGGAAGCUCCAUUCACAGAAGCUAUUGGAAGAGAUGCUCAAAGAAGAAAAAAUUACCAUAAUCCAAUAAAGAAGAAGACCUGAGAUCCAGGAAGCAGAUGAUCUGAACUGCAGAGAAAGUUCAGGAAAGUUCCCUCAUUCAUGAUGAUGGGAAAUAACAGUAAAUUCUGUACAGCAGUCUUGGACAACAACCAAUCUAAACUGGCACAGUGCAGAGGCAAUCAACAGAGAACAUAAUAUUGAUAGAAUGCCUGACGCUUUUGAUUGUAUUCACAGGAAACAUAAACAAUUGGAAGACAGUUUAUGAAUGAAUUAGUGAUAAGCAUUUUUUUUCAACUUUUAUUUUAGAUUCAAGGGUACAUGUGCAGGUUUGGUGCCUGGGUAUACUGGGUGAUGCUGAGGUUUGUGUUACAAAUGAUCCCAUCAUCCAGGUACUGAGCAUGGUAUCCAGUAGUUAGUUUUUAACCCUUCUCCUGUCUCUCUCCUGGUGGUCCCCAGUUUCUACUGUUGCCAUCUUUAUGUCCAUGAGUAUACAAUGUUUAGCUCCCACUUGUGAGAACAUGCGUAUUUGCCUAUUUAAUUAUUUGUUUAUUUGUUGAGACAUAGUUUCACUCUCUAGCCCGAUCUUGGCUCACUGCAACCUACGCUUCCUGUGUUCAAGCGAUUCUCUUGCCUCGGCCUCCCCAGUAGCUGAGAUUACAGGCACCUACUACCAUGCCUGACUAAUUUUUGUAUUUUAAUAGAGAUAGGGUUGCACCCUGUUGGCCAGGCUGGUUUCAAAUUCCUGAUCUCAAGCGAUCCACUCACCUUGGCCUCCCAAACGGCUGGGAUUACAGGCUUGAGCCACCACGCCCAGCCACUAUUUGCUUUUCUAUUCCUGCAUUAAUUUGCUUAGGAUAAUAGCCCUCAACUUCAUCCAUUUUGCUGCAAAGAAAAUAAUUUUGUUCUUUUUUAGGGCUGCAUAGUAUUCCAUGGUGUAUAUGUACCACAUUUGUUUUAUUUAAUCCACUGUUGAUGGACACCUGGGUUUAUUCUAUGCCUUUGCUACUACAAAUAGGGCUGUGAUGAACAUGCAAAGGCAUGUGUCUCCUUGAGAUAAAUAUUUUAAAAAUACAAUAAAAUCAAAAAAAUUAAUGUCAGGGCUAACAUACAGUUAUUAGAAAAAAAAAUAUUUUGUUAUUAUAGAUAGACACUAGCUUUAACAUAAUAAUAGUUAUGUAAGUAGUCGAAGUUCAUAUGAUCAAAAUUAUUAUUUAGCUGUUUUAAAAGAAUGCAGAUAUAAGAGAUAUACCAUUAAUGGUGAAUAGUUCCAGUAAAAGCAAGCUAAGCUCUCUUUCACAUUCCAUAGAGGGAAUUUAAUAAGCCCUGAAACCGAAAGUUCAAGAAGGAAAAGUGCAAGUCCUACAUGAAUUGAUCAAUGAUUGCCUCUGGAAAUUAUUGGUGUGAAUGGGGAGGCAAAAUUGCUAGUUUGGUUAAUAAGCUAUGUAACUGUUUGAUAAUUCUUCACUUGCAUGUAAACUUCGGUACAAAUAAAAGCUAAUGAAAACAGAGACAGAAUUAUUAAAUCAUCAUAACAUAAAGUUAACAUUUUUCAUCAUUUUUCACUUGUUCAAAGAUCAUAAGAAAUUUUCAUCUUAAUUUUCAAGCAUCAACUAAUGUUUCUACUCUCCCUGAGUACCAUAAAAAGCCUUCUGUGGACAGUCUAAGUGACAAUGACACAUUAGAUUUGGCAAAAAUUACUUUCAGAUGUAAAUCAAUUUGAGAAUGAACUGAUGCUCUGAAACCGGAAUUUACUUGUUGCUCAAAUUUGCCCCAAAAUAAAAUAAUUUUCAAUCAUAGGAGAAUUCACAGGGCCCAGCUCUCCAUUGGUGUUCCAAUCUAUUCUCUGACCUCUAUGCUGUACACAAGAAUCCUCAAUGGUUUUUCUGGAACCCAAGACAGAAAUAAUAUCCCAAAUGAUGCUUGCUCUAAGAGUAUCACUCACCCAGGGGGUUUACCCCCUGCAACUUUCCCUUUUACCAGUUUUGCUACAGAUUUUUAUGAACUUAGUUCCCCAGUCACCAGGGCCACAGAUGUUUGAAAUACUUUUCUGUCUUUUUUUUUAAGUGAUAAACAACUGAAUUCCUAUUCACUUUUACUCCACGAGUGACUUUACAAUACAUUAAAAAAAGAUAAACUGUCAGUAUUCUUUUCUUUAAAAACUGUAAAAUGCCUUUCCACUUAUUUCUUAUACUAUGUUGUCUCUCAGAUAAUACAUUGAUGCAAUUUUGGAUAAUGUUUUAAUGAAGAAGUUGACAGUAAUGCACAUUAAUUAAAAUAUGUAAAAAUC